GUUUGAUCCUGGCUCAGAUUGAACGCUGGCGGCAUGCUUUACACAUGCAAGUCGAACGGGGUUGGGAGCUUGCUUCCAAUCUAGUGGCGAACGGGUGAGUAAUACAUCGGAACGUACCGUGUAGUGGGGGAUAACGUAGCGAAAGUUACGCUAAUACCGCAUACGAUCCACGGAUGAAAGCAGGGGACCUUCGGGCCUUGUGCUAUACGAGCGGCCGAUGUCUGAUUAGCUAGUUGGUGAGGUAAAGGCUCACCAAGGCGACGAUCAGUAGCGGGGUCUGAGAGGAUGAUCCGCCACACUGGGACUGAGACACGGCCCAGACUCCUACGGGAGGCAGCAGUGGGGAAUUUUGGACAAUGGGCGCAAGCCUGAUCCAGCCAUGCCGCGUGUCUGAAGAAGGCCU
rnacentral:rRNA from 1 species